AUUGAACGCUGGCGGCAUGCCUUACACAUGCAAGUCGAACGGCAGCACGGGAGCAAUCCUGGUGGCGAGUGGCGAACGGGUGAGUAAAGUAUCGGAACGUGCCCAGUCGUGGGGGAUAACGUAGCGAAAGUUACGCUAAUACCGCAUACGAUCUAUGGAUGAAAGCGGGGGAUCGCAAGACCUCGCGCGAUUGGAGCGGCCGAUAUCAGAUUAGGUAGUUGGUGGGGUAAAGGCGCACCAAGCCGACGAUCUGUAGCUGGUCUGAGAGGACGACCAGCCACACUGGGACUGAGACACGGCCCAGACUCCUACGGGAGGCAGCAGUGGGGAAUUUUGGACAAUGGGGGCAACCCUGAUCCAGCAAUGCCGCGUGCAGGAAGAAGGCCUUCGGGUUGUAAACUGCUUUUGUACGGAACGAAACGGUCUGGGUUAAUACCCUGGGCUAAUGACGGUACCGUAAGAAUAAGCACCGGCUAACUACGUGCCAGCCGCCGCCGUAA
rnacentral:rRNA from 1 species